GAUGAACGCUGGCGGCGUGCCUAAUACAUGCAAGUCGAGCGAACGGACGAGAAGCUUGCUUCUCUGAUGUUAGCGGCGGACGGGUGAGUAACACGUGGAUAACCUACCUAUAAGACUGGGAUAACUUCGGGAAACCGGAUCUAAUACCGGAUAAUAUUUUGAACCGCAUGGUUCAAAAGUGAAAGACGGUCUUGCUGUCACUUAUAGAUGGAUCCGCGCUGCAUUAGCUAGUUGGUAAGGUAACGGCUUACCAAGGCAACGAUGCAUAGCCGCCCUGAGAGGGGGAGCGCCCACCUUGGAAGUGAGACACGGUCCAGACUCCUACGAGAGGCAGCAGUAGGGAAUCUUCCGCAAUGGGCGAAAGCAUGACGGAGCAACGCCGCGUGAGUGAUGAAGGUCUUCGGAUCGUAAAACUCUGUUAUUAGGGAAGAACAUAUGUGUAAGUAACUGUGCACAUCUUGACGGUACCUAAUCAGAAAGCCACGGCUAACUACGUG
rnacentral:rRNA from 1 species